AUGAAAAUCAAAUGUAAAUCGCUCUGGAUAAGAGCGUCUGCUAAAUGACUAAAA
rfam:Salmo salar isolate Sally breed double haploid chromosome ssa05, whole genome shotgun sequence.